CUCCAGCAACAGAUCCAGAGGCCAGCCCAAGUGGCCACCUAGUUCUCUUGGACUCUAGGCUCUACUGGUGGGGUGCUGCUGAUCCAAUGGGCAUGGAUUUAAUUGCAAUACAGAAAUAGUCCUGGGAGAUAUCCCAUAACUGUAGCUCCAUGCUGGAAUGUUUGUCUGUAGCCCCAUGGUGGGGUGUCUGUCUCCAGCUCCACCACUGGAUGUCUGAGACUCUAGCCCUAUCACUGGGUGUCUGUCUGUAGCCCAUCACGUAGUGUCUGUAGCUGUAGCCCCAUUAUGGGGUAUCUGAUUUGGGCUUGGCCCCCACAGCUAUGGCACAGUAAGCAGAUUCAUCAAAAGCUGCUCCAUUCUUCUGGAAGCUUCAGAGAAAGGGAACACAGAAAUCUGGUAUGCUGGUAAAAAGGGAGAACUAUCCUAUCCCUGAACCAGGCCCAAAUGAGGUCUUGCUGAGGAUGCAUUCUGUUGGAAUCUGUGGCUCAGAUGUCCACUACUGGGAGUAUGGUCGAAUUGGGAAUUUUAUUGUGAAAAAGCCCAUGGUGCUGGGACAUGAAGCUUCGGGAACAGUCGAAAAAGUGGGAUCAUCGGUAAAGCACCUAAAACCAGGUGAUCGUGUUGCCAUCGAAUCUGGUGCUCCCCGAGAAAAUGAUGAAUUCUGCAAGAUGGGCCGAUACAAUCUGUCACCUUCCAUCUUCUUCUGUGCCACACCCCCUGAUGAUGGGAACCUCUGCCAGUUCUAUAAGCACAAUGCAGCCUUUUGUUACAAGCUUCCUGACAAUGUCACCUUUGAGGAAGGCGCCCUGAUUGAUCCACUUUCUGUGGGGAUCCAUGCCUGCAGGAGAGGCGGAGUUACCCUGGGACACAAGGUCCUUGUGUGUGGAGCUGGGGCAAUCGGGGUAGUCACUUUGCUCGUGGCCAAGGCAAUGGGAGCAGCUCAAGUAGUGGUGACUGAUCUGUCUGCUACCCGAUUGUCCAAAGCCAAGGAGAUUGGGGCUGAUUUAGUCCUCCAGAUCUCCAAGGAGAGCCCUCAGGAAAUCGCCAGGAAAGUAGAAGGUCUGCUGGGGUGCAAGCCGGAAGUCACCAUCGAGUGCACGGGGCAGAGGCCUCCAUCCAGGCAGGCAUCUACGCCACUCGCUCUGGUGGGACCCUCGUGCUUGUGGGGCUGGGCUCUGAGAUGACCACCGUACCCCUACUGCAUGCAGCCAUCCGGGAGGUGGAUAUCAAGGGCGUGUUUCGAUACUGCAACACGUGGCCAGUGGCGAUUUCGAUGCUUGCGUCCAAGUCUGUGAAUGUAAAACCCCUCGUCACCCAUAGGUUUCCUCUGGAGAAAGCUCUGGAGGCCUUUGAAACAUUUAAAAAGGGAUUGGGGUUGAAAAUCAUGCUCAAGUGUGACCCCAGUGACCAGAAUCCCUGAUGUUAAUGGGCUCUGCCCUCAUCCCCAGUCUCGGGAUCUCAGGGCACAAUGGCUGGACAUGGGUGGGCUCUGAUGCAGAACUUUCUCUUUUGAAUGUUAAGAAUAACUAAUACAAUUCAUUGUGAACAGAAGUCCUUACGCAGAGGAAUUGGUGUGCCUUAAAGAUACAAUCUGGGAUAGUUUGGGGGAACUUGUAGCCAGAAUGCCCUGUUCAUGCUGAGCAAAGUUCAGCAAGUAGAGCAGAGUUUGGCAGGCAGGUGCCAGGAACUCCCCUUCUUCCUGGAGUGCCUUCAUUGAGGAAGGAAAUCUGGCCCUUGGGUUUCCUGGUUCCACUGCUACUGACCCAGAGGGGAAUGAGGGCUGAGUUAUGAAAAGAUAACUUCAUGAAGACUUAACUGGCCCAGAAGCUGAUUUUCAUGAAAAUCUGCCACUCAGGGUCUGGGAUGAAGGCUUGUCAGCACUUCCAGUUUAGAACGCAAUGUUUCUAGAGACAUAUUGGCUGUUUGUUUUGAUGAUAAAAGGAGAAUAAGAAAAGGCAUCACUUUCCUGGAUCCAGGAUAAUUUUUAAACCAAUCAAAUGAAAAAAACAAACAAACAAAAAAGGAAAUGUCAUGUGAGGUUAAACCAGUUUGCAUUCCCCUAAUGUGGAAAAAGUAAGAGGACUACUCAGCACUGUUUGAAGAUUGCCUCUUCUACAGCUUCUGAGAAUUGUGUUAUUUCACUUGCCAAGUGAAGGACCCCCUCCCCAACAUGCCCCACCCCACCCCUAAGUACGGUCCCUUGUCACCAGGCAACCAGGAAACUGCUACUUGUGGACCUCACCAGAGACCAGGAGGGUUUGGUUAGCUCACAGGACUUCCCCCACCCCAGAAGAUUAGCAUGCCAUACUAGACUCAUACUCAACUCAACUAGGCUCAUACUCAAUUGAUGGUUAUUAGACAAUUCCAUUUCUUUCUGGUUAUUAUAAACAGAAAAUCUUUCCUCUUCUCAUUACCAGUAAAGGCUCUUGGUAUCUUUCUGUUGGAAUGAUUUCUAUGAACUUGUCUUAUUUUAAUGGUGGGUUUUUUUUCUGGUAAGAUUUGGACCUAAAUCGCAUCAUGCCAACUUGUGACUUUGAGACUAUUCAUCAAGAAUGAGGAUAUAGUAGCCAUGACAUAGCUUGAGCUAUAGCCUUUAAUUCCUUACUUUGGCUAUGGGUGGAGGGUGAGUUUGAAGAGGUUCUGAUUUUCUUGUAACCUGGGAAAGCCAUGACCUUGUGCCCGAUUCUUUCAGAUUGCUUUGGGUAAUAAAUAUUGGUGGUGGUAUCUGA